GAUGAACGCUGGCGGCGUGCCUAAUACAUGCAAGUCGAGCGAACGGACGAGAAGCUUGCUUCUCUGAUGUUAGCGGCGGACGGGUGAGUAACACGUGGAUAACCUACCUAUAAGACUGGGAUAACUUCGGGAAACCGUAGCUAAUACCGGAUAAUAUUUUGAACCGCAUGGUUCAAAAGUGAAAGACGGUCUUGCUGUCACUUAUAGAUGGAUCCGCGCUGCAUUAGCUAGUUGGUAAGGUAACGGCUUACCAAGGCAACGAUGCAUAGCCGACCUGAGAGGGUGAUCGGCCACACUGGAACUGAGACACGGUUCCAGACUCCUACGGGAGGCAGCAGUAGGGAAUCUUCCGCAAUGGGCGAAAGCCUGACGGAGCAACGCCGCGUGAGUGAUGAAGGUCUUCGGAUCGUAAAACUCUGUUAUUAGGGAAGAACAUAUGUGUAAGUAACUGUGCACAUCUUGACGGUACCUAAUCAGAAAGCCACGGCUAACUACGUG
rnacentral:rRNA from 1 species